rnacentral:rRNA from 1 species
GACGAACGCUGGCGGCGUGCCUAAUACAUGCAAGUAGAACGCUGAAGGAGGAGCUUGCUUCUCUGGAUGAGUUGCGAACGGGUGAGUAACGCGUAGGUAACCUGCCUGGUAGCGGGGGAUAACUAUUGGAAACGAUAGCUAAUACCGCAUAAGAGACGAUGUUGCAUGACAUUUGCUUAAAAGUUGCAAUUGCAUCACUACAAGAUGGACCUGCGUUGUAUUAGCGUGUUGGGGGGGGAACGGCUUACCAAGGCGAAGCUACAUAGGCGGCGCGAGAGGGGGGAUCGGCCACCUGGGAAUUGGGCCCGGCCCAGGCCCCCUCGGGGGGGAGCAGUAGGGAAUCUUCGGAAAUGGGCGGAAGUCUGACCGCGCAACGCCGCGGUGGUGAAGAAGGGUUUCGGAUCGUAAAGCUCUGUUUUAAGGGAAGAACGAGUGUGAGAGUGGAAAGUUCACACUGUGACGGUACCUUACCAGAAAGCGACGGCUAACUACGUG